rnacentral:rRNA from 1 species
UAGGGAAUAUUGGACAAUGGGCGAGAGCCUGAUCCAGCCAUCCCGCGUGCAGGACGACGGCCCUCUGGGUUGUAAACUGCUUUUAUACAGGAAGAAAAAAGGACAUGCGUGUCCUACUGACGGUACUGUAUGAAUAAGCACCGGCUAACUCCGUGCCAGCAGCCGCGGUAAUACGGAGGGUGCAAGCGUUAUCCGGAUUCACUGGGUUUAAAGGGUACGUAGGCUGGCCAAUAAGUCAGUGGUGAAAUCCUGCCGCUUAACGGUAGCAUUGCCAUUGAAACUGUUGGUCUUGAGUGUGAUUGAGGUAGGCGGAAUGUAGCAUGUAGCGGUGAAAUGCAUAGAUAUGCUACAGAACACCGAUAGCGAAGGCAGCUUACCAAGUCACCACUGACGCUAAGGU